rnacentral:lncRNA from 1 species
UAUCAUAUUAUUCACCGAUAUAGAAAAUGAAGGUUAGUAAAAAUCAUAAAAACAACUAAUAGAGUUUUUAAUUUAAGUAAAUUCAUUUAUCAUAAGUAAAAUUAUUUAUUGCAUACUUAUCGUUGUGAGAUUUUCAAAACUGACCUAUAGAGACACUAGUUCAACAACAUCAUAAUCUCAUAUUCAAGUAAGUAAGAAUAACAACUUUUCCUUUUUAUUUAUCUAUUGGUAUCCAUGAGGGUCC